CCAAGGAGUCUAACAUGUGCGCGAGUCACUCGGUCUUGAAUAGGCCAGAGAGGCGCAAUGAAAGUAAAGUUGAUUGAGUUACGAUCCUCAUGCGGUUAUGCGUUUGUGUAACGGUGAGGCGCAGUAACAGCCCGCUAAUUUCGCUUUUUGACGAUAUGGCGGAGUUAUAGCGUACACGUUGGUACCCGAAAGAUGGUGAACUAUGCCUGGGCAGGACGAAGCCAGAGGAAACUCUGGUGGAGGUUCGUAGAAAUUUUGACGUGCAAAUCAAUUUUCAGACCUGGGUAUAGGGGCGAAAGACUAAUCGAACCAUC
rnacentral:rRNA from 1 species